GCGGGUCGAUCUACACCGCGAACCGAUGAUCGUGAAUGUCUUUCAAAGGUUCUUUGAAACCGCACAAGCGUCUGAUCUUUAUGAAUAUCCAUAUGAUGCCUCGAUCUAAUCAGAAGCUUCUUAAUCUUACCGGAGUACUAGCUUUCUUUCAGAGAUCGCAUCUUGACAGUUGAAAACUCUUCGUUUCUCUCAAGAUCCUCUUAGAGAAGAAGAAAAUAAGAGGAUGAAGAUCUCUACACUAGAGAUCAUAAGAAGAAUACUUUUUUCUCUUUC
rnacentral:lncRNA from 1 species